ensembl:snRNA LOC120094041 U4 spliceosomal RNA
AGCUUUGCGCAGUGGCAGUAUCGUAGCCAAUGAGGUUUAACCGAGGUGCGAUUAUUGCUAAUUGAAAUGUAAAUAAGAAAUAACCAUAUAAUAAAAUUGGAGGAAGAAAAAGAAUAGAAUGAUUUGCAUUCUUAUACAUACUGACCUCCUGUUGAACCAGC